rnacentral:rRNA from 1 species
AUUGAACGCUGGCGGCAGGCCUAACACAUGCAAGUCGAGCGGCAGCGGGAAAGUAGCUUGCUACUUUUGCCGGCGAGCGGCGGACGGGUGAGUAAUGCCUGGGAAAUUGCCCAGUCGAGGGGGAUAACAGUUGGAAACGACUGCUAAUACCGCAUACGCCCUACGGGGGAAAGCAGGGGACCUUCGGGCCUUGCGCGAUUGGAUAUGCCCAGGUGGGAUUAGCUUGUUGGUGAGGUAAUGGCUCACCAAGGCGACGAUCCCUAGCUGGUCUGAGAGGAUGAUCAGCCACACUGGAACUGAGACACGGUCCAGACUCCUACGGGAGGCAGCAGUGGGGAAUAUUGCACAAUGGGGGAAACCCUGAUGCAGCCAUGCCGCGUGUGUGAAGAAGGCCUUCGGGUUGUAAAGCACUUUCAGCGAGGAGGAAAGGUUGGUAGCUAAUAACUGCCAACUGUGACGUUACUCGCAGAAGAAGCACCGGCUAA